UACGAAGGGGCCAGCGUUGUUCGGAUUUACUGGGCGUAAAGCGCACGUAGGCGGAUCGUUAAGUCGGGGUGAAAUCCGUGGAGCUCACUCCAGAACUGCCUUCGAUACUGGCGAGCGUUGAGUUCGGGAGAGGUGGAGUGGAACUGCGAGUGUAGAGGUGAAAUUCGUAGAUAUUCGGCAAGAACACCAGUGGCGAAGGCGGCUCACUGGCCC
rnacentral:rRNA from 1 species